CACGUAGUUAGCCGGGGCUUUCUUCUCCUAUACCGUCACACAAAGCGCAGUUACUCGCCUUGCUGUUCGUCUAGGGCAGCAGAGCUUUACGAUCCGAAAACCUUCAUCACUCACGCGGCGUUGCUCCGUCAGACUUGCGUCCAUUGCGGAAGACUUCCCUACUGCUGCCUCCCGUAGGAGUCUGGGCCGUGUCUCAGUCCCAGUGUGGCCGUUCACCCUCUCAGGUCGGCUACGCAUCGUCGCCUUGGUGAGCCGUUACCUCACCAACUAGCUAAUGCGCCGCAGGCCCAUCUUUAAGCCACAGAUUGCUCCGUGUUUUAUGAUUCUCUCAUGCGAGAAAACCAGUUAUCCGGUCUUAGCUAUCGUUUCCGAUAGUUAUCCCAGUCUUAAAGGCAGGUUACCUACGUGUUACUCACCCGUCCGCCGCUAGCUUGUCCCGAAGGACAAACCCGCUCGACUUGCAUGUAUUAGGCACGCCGCCAGCGUCGUCUCGUGCACGGUAC
rnacentral:rRNA from 1 species